GGACUAAGGAGUACAAGCGUUAUCAGACACCAGGAGGAAGGACCUGUGGGGAUUCAAAUACUUGACAUUAUAAAGGAACAACAGGAUUACUCACCCCCAUGGAACAUUGCUCGGUUGCAAAGUUCUGUCCAGUCACCACCACAUCCUAAAAGAGCAUCGUAUGCAAUCAUGGGAGCAUCAUGGCCUCUUCUUCCACCCCGUCCUUCAGAACUCCACCUCCUGCCUCCCUUCCUCUCAGACUGCUCAGAACAACAAUAUUGAAAAUGAUCUUCAAAUACAAGAGGCAGAAUACUUCCUCAGCAACAAAACCCCCUGGGCCCAUCAAACAAGCCCUAGAAUAGGUGCAUCCAGACUUUACCUUUUUUACCUGCCCCAAUUUCCAAACCACAUCCAAAGUGCAUCUGUUAUGCUUAUACCAAAAACAUCAUUUUGAUUAAAGAUUGGCCCGCAAGCCCGUUUUUUAUCCCCUUAACAUAUAAAAUACAAUAUAGCAAUUUGAGUUGUACUUCCUUCAACUAGGGCUGAAUUUGGCCAUGAGCUUUAUGGUGUCCCGAGGACUGUGUUGGAACUGCAAGCUAUUGUGUUAAGAGCAGUGUGUGUGUAUUUGUCUGUCUGU